GUGAAGGCAGUCUACUGCUGUGGGAAGCGUACUUGUCACACACCAAAGAUCAUGGCUCAGUGUGACAGCAUCAGAAUAUGUGAAGAGGUAAUCUGGCUUUAUGUUGCACAGGAGAUGCCCUUAAAAUAGGCCUAACAACAGCACAACGGACGUCAAUCUUUACCCAUGAUGUGUUGUGAUUCCCUUCCACUCUCGACUGUCACCGACUCACGCUAGCUGUCACAUGCUGUCACAAGCUAACCUGUCAAACGUUUGCCUCCUCCUCGGUCCCCAUGAAGCCUUUUGUUGGUCACUUACCCUUCUCUUUGCAUAGUCGCCCAACACCAAAGAUUCCCAUACCAGGCACAUCCGGUCCGUGCUGCAGGAGCUGUUGAGUCACGAUCUGUACGUGAAGGCAGAGAAAUCCGAAUUCCACCGACCAUCCGUCUUGUUCCUGGGUUUUAUCCUGGCGGAGGGGAUCCCGGCAAGGUCAAGGCCGUCCUUCAGUGGCCCACUCCCACAAAUCGCAAAGAGGUACAGAGAUUCAUUGGGUUUGCCAACUUUUAUCGCAAGUUUAUUCGGAAUUUUAGCACCAAAGCUGCCCCCUUCCAUGCACUCACCUCUCCCCGCAGUGCCUUUGACUGGGAUCUGGCCUGUGUAAGAUAAGCUUACACAUUUCACAGAGGCCUGUGAAAUGUAUCUCCUCAUGUGUCAUAAAUCUUUUUUAAUUACUCUGUUGCUGUGCAGGGAUGUGUGUGUGUGCUGUUUGUCUAUGGGAAGUUUAAGAGCUCAAGGUGACUGCAAAUUUAUGAUAGUUGCAUUCUUGUGGGUUUUUGUAACAGGAAGAACUGUGUCCACUCAGAGGACACCCGGCCUUGAGAAGAUUAACUGUCUCUGUAUAACAACUUUACUUGUCUUGUGAAACCUCU